rnacentral:lncRNA from 1 species
CGGUACUAGUUUAAAAAAAACAAUAAAAUUCUGUUGGAAAUAUUAUAUGAAUUGGUGGGUAUUUUGAAAUUAAACAAAAAUCUAACCAGUGUCGCAUUCUGGGGGAGUACAUGUGCUCAAAGGGAAAAUAAAUAUAAUUUUCUGCAUAAAAUGGCUUAAUUUAUUUUAGCCACCCGCUCGGCGAUAGUUUUGCAUCCAUAUCAUUUCAACCCUGGCUACGCUAC